AGUGAACGCUGGCGGUAUGCCUAACACAUGCAAGUCGAACGGCAGCACAGUAAGAGCUUGCUCUUACGGGUGGGGAGUGGCGGGCGGGUGAGGAAUACAUCGGAAUCUACUUUUUCGUGGGGGAUUACGUAAGGAAACUUACUCCAAUACCGCAUACGACCUUCCGGGGAAAGCAGGGGAUCUUCGGACCUUGUGCGCUUGCAUGAGCCGAUGUCGGAUUAGCUAGUUGGCGGGGUAAAGGCCCACCAAGGCGACGAUCCGUAGCUGGUCUGAGAGGAUGAUCAGCCACACUGGAACUGAGACACGGUCCAGACUCCUACGGGAGGCAGCAGUGGGGAAUAUUGGACAAUGGGCGCAAGCCUGAUCCAGCCAUACCGCGUGGGUGAAGAAGGCCUUCGGGUUGUAAAGCCCUUUUGUUGGGAAAGAAAAGCAGCAGGUUAAUACCCCGCUGUUCUGACGGUACCCAAAGAAUAAGCACCGGCUAACUUCGUG
rnacentral:rRNA from 1 species